AGAGCGAACGCUGGCGGCAGGCCUAACACAUGCAAGUCGAGCGCCCGUAGCAAUACGGGAGCGGCAGACGGGAGAGUAACACGUGGGAACGCGCCCUUCGGUUCGGAAUAACUCAGGGAAACUUGAGCUAAUACCGGAUACGCCCUUACGGGGAAAGAUUUAUUGCCGAAGGAACGGCCCGCGUCCGAUUAGCUUGUUGGUGAGGUAAUGGCUCACCAAGGCGACGAUCGGUAGCUGGUCUGAGAGGAUGACCAGCCUCACUGGGACUGAGACACGGCCCAGACUCCUACGGGAGGCAGCAGUGGGGAAUAUUGGACAAUGGGCGCAAGCCUGAUCCAGCCAUGCCGCGUGGAUGAUGAAGGCCCUAGGGUUGUAAAGUCCUUUUAACGGGAAGAUAAUGACGGUACCGUAGAAUAAGCCCGGCUAACUUCGUGCCAGCAGCCGC
rnacentral:rRNA from 1 species